rnacentral:rRNA from 1 species
UACAGAGGGGGCAAGCGUUAUUCGGAAUUAUUGGGCGUAAAGGGCGCGUAGGCGGCCAUUCAAGUGACGGGUGAAAGCCCUCGGCUUAACCGAGGAACUGCCUGUCAGACUGGAUGGCUUGAGACCGGGAGAGGUGAGUGGAAUUCCCAGUGUAGCGGUGAAAUGCUUAGAUAUGACAUAGAACACCGAUAGCGAAGGCAGCUUGCUACACAAUCAUUGACACUGAGGCACGAAAGCGUGGGGAUCAAACAGG